rnacentral:rRNA from 1 species
UGCCAGCAGCCGCGGUAAUACGGAGGGUCCAAGCGUUAUCCGGAUUUAUUGGGUUUAAAGGGUGCGCAGGCGGAACUUUAAGUCAGUGGUAAAGGCAGUAGCUUAACUAUUGUAAGCCAUUGAAACUGGGUUUCUUGAGUUCGGUAGAGGUAGGCGGAAUGUGUUGUGUAGCGGUGAAAUGCAUAGAUAUAACACAGAACACCGAUUGCGAAGGCAGCUUACUAUGCCGUUACUGACGCUAAGGCACGAAAGCGUGGGUAUCAAACAGGAUUAGAUA